ACACAUGCAGUCGAGCGGCGCACGGGGAGCUUGCUCCCUGGUGGCGAGCGGCGGACGGGUGAGUAAUGCAUAGGAAUCUGCCCGGUAGUGGGGGAUAACCUGGGGAAACCCAGGCUAAUACCGCAUACGUCCUACGGGAGAAAGCAGGGGCUCUUCGGACCUUGCGCUAUCGGAUGAGCCUAUGUCGGAUUAGCUGGUUGGUGAGGUAAUGGCUCACCAAGCGACGAUCCGUAGCUGGUCUGAGAGGAUGAUCAGCCACACUGGGACUGAGACACGGCCCAGACUCCUACGGGAGGCAGCAGUGGGGAAUAUUGGACAAUGGGCGCAAGCCUGAUCCAGCCAUGCCGCGUGUGUGAAGAAGGCCCUCGGGUUGUAAAGCACUUUCAGCGAGGAAGAAGGCUUGGCGGCUAAUACCCGUCAAGAAGGACAUCACUCGCAGAAGAAGCACCGGCUAACUCCGUGCCAGCAGCCGCGGUAAUACGGAGGGUGCGAGCGUUAAUCGGAAUUACUGGGCGUAAAGCGCGCGUAGGUGGUUUGGCACGCCGGUUGUGAAAGCCCCGGGCUCAACCUGGGAACGGCAUCCGGAACGGCCAGACUAGAGUGCAGGAGAGGAAGGUAGAAUUCCCGGUGUAGCGGUGAAAUGCGUAGAGAUCGGGAGGAAUACCAGUGGCGAAGGCGGCCUUCUGGCCUGACACUGACACUGAGGUGCGAAAGCGUGGGUAGCAAACAGGAUUAGAUACCCUGGUAGUCCACGCCGUAAACGAUGUCGACUAGCCGUUGGGACCUUUAAGGACUUAGUGGCGCAGUUAACGCGAUAAGUCGACCGCCUGGGGAGUACGGCCGCAAGGUUAAAACUCAAAUGAAUUGACGGGGGCCCGCACAAGCGGUGGAGCAUGUGGUUUAAUUCGAUGCAACGCGAAGAACCUUACCUACCCUUGACAUCCAGAGAACUUGGCAGAGAUGCCUUGGUGCCUUCGGGAACUCUGAGACAGGUGCUGCAUGGCUGUCGUCAGCUCGUGUUGUGAAAUGUUGGGUUAAGUCCCGUAACGAGCGCAACCCUUGUCCCUAUUUGCCAGCGAUUCGGUCGGGAACUCUAGGGAGACUGCCGGUGACAAACCGGAGGAAGGUGGGGACGACGUCAAGUCAUCAUGGCCCUUACGGGUAGGGCUACACACGUGCUACAAUGGCCGGUACAAAGGGUUGCGAGACCGCGAGGUGGAGCGAAUCCCAGAAAGCCGGCCUCAGUCCGGAUCGGAGUCUGCAACUCGACUCCGUGAAGUCGGAAUCGCUAGUAAUCGUGAAUCAGAAUGUCACGGUGAAUACGUUCCCGGGCCUUGUACACACCGCCCGUCACACCAUGGGAGUGGACUGCACCAGAAGUGGUAGCUAACUUCGGGAGG
rnacentral:rRNA from 1 species